UAAUAUAUCAGUAUAAUAAUAUUACUUACUAUAUUAUUUGAUUGUGGUGUUGAUAUGAACCCACAAAUAAUUGCAUUUACUUUAUCGUAAACUUACUACUGACAUUUACUGACAUUUACUUUAUCGUAAAUUUACUUUAAAGGGUGGUGCGGGUUUAUCGUCCACGCCUUUACUGACAUUUACUGACAUUUACUUUAUCGUAAAUUUACUACUGACAUUUACUUUAUCGUAAAUUUACUUUAAAGGGUGGUGCGGGUUUAUCGUCCACGCCUUUACUGUCAUUUAAAUGUAUGGAGUAGAAUUAGUGCCCAUACAAGCACGUUUACUUUACCGCACAUUUACAGUAUGGUGCGGGAUUAACGUCCAUACAGCAAUUUAAUUUAUGAAUUUACUUUACCGCACAUUUACAGUAUGGUGCGGGAUUAACGUCCAUACAACAAUUUAAUUUAUGAAUUUACUUUACCGCACAUUUAAAGUAUGGUGCGGGAUUAACGUCCAUACAAGUAAUUUAUUUAAACGGUAAAUUUAUUUUAUGGAUUAAUUGUGUUGUAUGAUGAGUUUUUACAGUAUACAGAUCAGGACCAGAAGUUCCUUGAUCCUCAUCAUACAUUUAUGUGAUCGGACUUAAGGGUCCUUGAUCCCUGACAUGUGAAUAAGGACCUGGGUUUCCUUAAUGAUGUAACAGUACCGUAUUGGUUAAAAGUGCCGUACACAUGAAUAAUAACU
rnacentral:lncRNA from 1 species